GCGGAGAAAGUGUGUGUGCAGGAGAGGAGCUGAGCAGAGAGAGCUGCUUUUUCAUGAAACGGGAGUAAAGUAGUGAACUUACAGGAACAUAUACCACUACCAACGUUUGGAUCGAUACCUGCAUCGAUCUGCACACCCUUGUCUCCUGGAUCGUAGCUGAGAUCAGCGUGAACCACGUGGGUCUCUGCUCCCUGAUCUGUUUCUUAAGACUUCCAGCUUCAUCACGGAGUUUCUCUCGGUUUGUGGGCUCAUCUAAAGACCUGCUUUUACCAUACGAACCCUCGUGGACCCUGAGGUCCUCUGGUACUGGCCUUUUGAUUGUCCCUAAAGUCAGGACACAUACUCACAGAGAGGCAGCUUUUCAGUGGUUCGGUCCUCGACUGUGGAACAGCCUGCCGGAGGAGCUCAGGGCCGCAGAGAACGUUCAUGUUUUUAAAAACAGGCUCAAGACCCACCUUUUUAAUUUAGCUUUUACCUAACGUUUAUUUAUUUUAUGCUUAUUUAUUCUAUGCUGUUAUUCUAUUUAUACUAUUACCUAAUAUUUAUUGAUUUUAUUCUUAUUCAUUUUUUAUCUUCUUACUCUAUUUAUAUUUAUCUUUAUAUUGUAUCCCAUUCUUAUUUAUUUUAUCUCUUUAUCCUUUUUAUAUUCUUAUUAGGUCAUAUCUCCAGUGUUUCCUCGGAGGGGGCUCUCUGCACCGGGGCUGUGAUUGACCGUGGCUGCUUGGGCUCUGUGGGUCCUCUCAGCCUGGCUGGGGGGCUUCUCUGCCUCCCUCCUGCUGUGUGCCCAGCCUGGAGGCUGCGGUCUGUGACCGGCUCUGUGUUUCCUCACUUGGCUAAUGCGUACCCAGCCCAAUUUUACUCUUUUAAGUGUGCGUGUCUGUCUGUGUGUGCGUGUGGGGGGUGGGGGGAUGUGUGUUUUCAUGAUGGUUUAUGUUAAUGAGAGUGUGGGGAGUGAGUGGGAGGGUGGGGUGGUGUGGGCUGCUUUUAACCAUGUAAAGCACUUUGUGCUACAUUUUAUGUAUGAAAAGUGCUUUAUAAAUAAAGAUUGAUUGAUUAAAGAUUGAUUGACAUAUAAUACGUAUAUAUACAUACAUAUGUGUGUGUGUGUCCCAG
ensembl:lncRNA